GCCAGAGUAGUUCAGUGGUAGAACGCAAACUUGGUAAGUUUGAAGUCGGGAGUUCAAUUCUCCCCUCUGGCU
rnacentral:tRNA from 1 species